GAAAAAUAAUCCCGGGGAAGUCGAGAUACAGAGACUGUGUGUUCGUCCUGAGGGUUGGAGUUGGUGAAGCAGUGGAAAUUUCAGCAGUAGCUAUCGUUUUCAUUUUCCAGCAAGCUGCAUAAAUGGCCUUAGACUCUCCGAACCGACCCUACAGGGCCAGGAAAAACCCAAAGGAGCCAGACAAAUAAAAAGAAAAGAGCUCAGACGCCGCCACUCGGCUCUGAAUCUGGUUCCUGUCAGGGUACAUCAAGGGAACACCCGGAACGCAAUCUCCAAACUGCUGCCUCCCUGUAACCAUACGUGUCUCGCUGACAAGACGACUGAACCAUCGCCAGCUCUCCAAAGAGGAUUGUUUUUUUUCUUCUUCCACCCCUUUAUUUAUUCCUUUUCACCCUCCCUUUUUUCUUGGAACUGACCCACAUGGAUGAAGAUCAAUUCUGGAUGAUCUGAUAAUUAUGCUGUCAGUUCCAAUUGAUAUGUGAUGAAGUGAGAAAUCGGACAGAGGGUAAAUACUAAAAGGAUUUCAAGCUUUCUGUACAUGCGGGGAACCCGUAUGCAUGAGAGAAACUCAGAGCUAGCCGUUACUUGUUUAAGACCCGUUUCAUAAGCUGAUAAAUCAGCAUUUAACAGAUAACAUCUGCUAGAACAUCACAUUUCUGUCUUUGAUUUCUUAGCCAUUUUCUAUUCAGUGAGUGACACAUCAUUUAUAACUUUUUUUAAGUUGUGGUUGUAGACUUAUAAUCUGAGAUUGUGAUAUGUGAUUUAGACUGCUAACCCAUUAUAUGAUUAUUGGUUCAAUCCAAGGAGGUCUGUGAUACCUAGAAAGAGCUAUCUGUUAGCAUUCCCAUUCAUCUCAAUGGCAGUUCCUCAGCUGGUGCAGAACCUCCUAGCAUAUGUGAUUAGAAAUCAUCAAUCUGCUGAGGUUAAAAUUUGUGAUUUGAUUUUUAAUUUAGGAAAGUGGCAAUUAAAUCAAUUGAAAACUAUUAAUAUAACUGAAAUAAGUGUCAAGAAAUGGAAAAUAUGAAACAAUUUUGUAGAUAAACAUGACAUUUAUAUGAACUGCAAAUUUUUAUUUUGACAGACUUUAGUGUUUAACAUAUUGUGCCUUGUAACAAAGCUUUAAAAAAUAGAUGUUUGAAGAUUUUAUAGAUAAAUGGAGAUUUCAUUUGUAUUUAAUUUAUAGAGAGAAAGAGAGUACGUGAUUAGAAAUCUGGGAUGUGCUGCAAGGUUGUUUGAGACAUAAAUGAGGUUACUGAGAAUAAAAAACUGAAAUUUGAUUGAAGAAAGUAAAAAUUAAAUGAACUGAAUUUGAUUCAACAAUUCACUUAUUGCAGUCAUAUGAAUUGCAAUACAUCUUAAUUUUGACAAACUUGAAAUGAAACAGGAUCGGGGGAAUGGCCAACCCGAUCUCACUGCAAAUUCAUACAUAUUUU